CUGAGGCCCGGCUUCCGCAGCCGGCUGCUGCCUGUGAUUGGCGGAGGCGCGGAGAAUGCUGGACGCCGUUGGUCCCGCCCCGCUCGGGUCAAAAUGGUGCGGGCGAGGCCCUUCUCCGGACGGCACCGGCCUUUCGGUCUGGGGUCCCCAGAAAGAGACCGCUAACUUGUUUGAGAUCGCGGAUUUGGGCGAUGGCCUCGAGCAGGCUUGGAAAUGACAAAGGCAGAAACAGAAGCCUCCAGAAGACAAGAUGAAGAUAAUGACAUGCUUCAUUUUAAGAGACAUGAGCUCAUUUCCUGUUAGAGGGAUUCCUACCAAAUGAGAUUUGAAGCUAAAUAAAUUCAUCUUACAGACCGUUA